AAAUUCAGUAAAACAAGAAUUCAAUGUGGGAAGUAGCAACAAAAAAAGGGUGGGCAUGUUUUGUAAAGAAAAAAGGUUUCCUGCGUCCAUUGGAAAGCACCAUUAAUUUUGGUUAAUUUUUACCGAAUAGAACAUGAAUUCUUUUGGCCACAUAGGAAAUAGUUCUUAAAAUAUGCUAAGGUAUUUGAACAUCUAAAAUGAAAUGUUUCUCAAUAAGAUAAGCGUAUUUCCAUAUGAUCUGUAAAUUGAUCCACAGAGAGCUGUUCAGUUGUCCAAUCUUAUUUAUUUUGGACAAAUAAUGUGCUACUUUUUUCUCCUUCUGGGAUAGCUUUUAAGUUGCAUAAAUAAAUGAUCCUGUCUUGUUCUGUUACAGAAACACAUUUAUUUAAUAUUCCCAAACCAUUGCUGACUGCUGUGUGUGAACCUCCUGUAAUUUGAUGGCUGUAACCAUGACAGUUUUGAACACCUGUCUUCGGAUUAGGUUCCUGUUAAUGAUUCAACUCUGGGCAAAAGGAAGAGCUGUGAGGCCAAGGAAACUGAGUGUGGUGGGUGCAGGGUGGUCAAAUUCCCCCCGCCGUGUCAGGAGGAGGAGGGAGGUGCUGUCUCUCUACUCCCUCCCAUAUACCAGAGCCGCUCAUCUCCUGCGUUCAGGCACCUGGCUCAGUUGCUCACUCCCAAAAUAUAUCUGGACAAGUGACCAAGACGCAGACCUGGUUAAAUGUCUUUGGCUCCUUCCGUCCCUUCCUGAAGUUCCCAGAGGUAACCCAUUGAUGCAUAGAAAGGAAUGCUGUUCUUACCUGACCCUGCAGCUGACGAUUUGUGAAACCUGUGAUUUCACAAAAAGGUUUUUGUGAUCACACAAAAUGUGAUUGCUGGGGGAAGUUCCCAGGCCUGACUGCUGUCUAUCCUUAUUCGUGGUUACCAGUGAGCCUUGCUCCAAACACUGUCAGCUACUACCACCUGGCCUAAGAGAUGUAGCCUCCUGGGCCUCUCACUUCUGAUCUCCUUAGCUCCAGGAGACACAGGAAGAGUCUAGCCUUGCUGCAAGGUUACUGCCUGCCAGUGCACAUCCACCUUGGUGCCCUCUCAACCAAAUGUAUGCCCAGGGAACAAUCCCCACUGAUGAACCCAGAGUAGGUGUUCUCACCCGGUCAACUCUGUGGACCACCUGAAAUUGCAUUCACCUGCAAAGUUUUGUUUGGGAUUAUAUGUGUGGUUAAAUGCAUUUUUUUUUUUUUUUUCCAGGAACAGAGAUCAUCGACCUCAUCAGUUUCUCAAGGGGUCGGUAAUCCCCACCCCACAAAAAUACAAAGAAAUACUAUCAGUGAAUGGAGGCAAGUCGUUAAGUUCUGUAAUCUUGAUAGACCAGAGAGAGGGAUGAAUCUGCCAGAUCAGAAGAGCUCCUGAUAUCUUCUUCAUCAGGUAUUUUCAGGACUGCAGAGAUGAACAUUAGUGAGUCCAAAUAGAAGUGGUGAAGGGAGCAGAGAAGAGGAUGGGCCUGUUUCCCAGAGAAGUAGAAAUGACCAGUAGCUCAGGAGAAGAUGCUGUUUCUUCCGGUAAUCAGAGAAAGAUGACACAUUUGUUGUGUACGCAAAGACUAAAAAGAAAACGAGUGACAGUGCCCCGCAUGGUGGAGGUGGUGGGAGGGAAGGCGGGGAGUGAGGGACCUUGCAAAUAAUGGGAGGGGAAAUUUGGGACCCAGACUCACCAGUGAAGUGGCUUCACGUGACCAGGAGCUGAUGUGCUGGUGUGUUGGUCCAAAUAGCGGUUCCUGCUCAGCUCUCAGCUCCCUAUUUCCUUAAAGGUGGUGUGACUGUGGCCUAAGAAGGUGGAGGAGGAGAGGGAGGAAACCCAUCCAGAUCCUUGUAGGUUGGUGUGAAGGUGGGUGUUGAUUGGAGACUCCUGAAGUCCGGGUGGAAGGUAGCAGCACAAUUUUCAAGUUAGGAGGCACUUCUCUGUUUCCCCAAGGGGACAGCCCGAACCCAGGCUUGUUCUCAUUUUGUGACUUGUCAAAGGCAGGGCAGUGUCAGCAGCAGAAAUGGUUGACGUUGGUGACUUCAGGAGGUGGAGGGAAGAAAGUGGUUAUCAUGUAGCAGAGCGAUGGAGGACUGUGAAAUAAGAGACAGACUUGACAACCUGGACCCUGAACAGGGAAAGGUCUGGGUCUGGACGCACAUUCAGAUGUUGGUGCAUCCACUGAGCACUAAGUCCAAAUUGUCUCCUCUUUGUUCCUGUCUGGUUUUCGCUUCCGUCUGUCUGUGUCUGCUGCUCUGUCCAUCAGUGGUGGGUUUUCCACGCAAAAGGAGGAGAAGCUUAAAGGUUCAUUUCCUUCCUCCUUCCCCUCCCCCUAAACACUCAGUCCCUACAUCCAAGUUGACUGCGGCUUCAAACUCCUGCUCUCAAUGUGUUCUCACUAGCCUAAGGGAGCACCCCUGAGACAUUCACAGUGCUGUAGCAUGGGCGGAGCUUAGAACUUGGACUUGAUAGCAGUGGGACUGGUGAUUCGGGCUCGUGCCUCGUACUACUGACUGGCCUGUGGUAGAGAGCAGAAAAAGAAGAGACCAGCUGAUUUGAAAAACAAUAAUCAUGUCUACAAAAGUUUAGAAAAUAUAGAAAACUAUAAGAAAUAAAAUAAAAAUAAGCCACCAAACAAUUACCA